CCAAACUUGGUCAUUUAGAGGAAGUAAAAGUCGUAACAAGGUUUCCGUAGGUGAACCUGCGGAAGGAUCAUUAAAAGUACCUGCCGGCUUAGCUUUAACCGGCAGAUGACUCUGCGAUGUCACCAUCACUUUUGUGGUGGUGGAUCCCAGGUCUUACCCUUUGUGAAACUUCUACCUUUGCUUCGGCAGCACUCUCAGCGAAAGCUGGAGGGGUAAGGCUGUCAGAAGCCCAUAUCAAACCAGUUGAUGAAAUGUCAUGCUGUCUGAUAAACCACUAUUUGAGAAAUCAAAUUGAUCUUAAAACUUUCAGCAACGGAUCUCUUGGUUACCGCAUCGAUGAAGAACGCAGC
rnacentral:misc_RNA from 1 species